rnacentral:sRNA from 1 species
GAAAGAGAAUCUUCUGCUAAAAACGCCCACACCAUGCGGGCAACGUAGAAGUUACUGCCUCCUGUGGA